rnacentral:tRNA from 3 species
GGCGCGGUAGCUCAGUGGUAGAGCAAAGGAUUGAAAAUCCUUGUGUCGGAAGUUCAAUUCUUCCUCGCGCCACCA